UUAGUCAAUUGUUUAAAUCUUGGCUUAGUUGUAUAACAUGGCAAAAGCAUGAGGACUAAAAGACUUUAGCCAAUUCUUGGCUCCCUUUGGGCUUUGUAACGUGGCAAGUGGUGGCUUAUCAUGUCAAUUAGAUAAAUGGUGGCUUGCAUGCUUUUAACAUGGGAAUUAAAACAAGUGGCAGCUUGUAGCUUGGGAAUUGGAAUAAAUGGCAGCUUGCAAGAUUUUAGCAUGCAAAAUAAUGGGAGUUGCAUAAGCCUAUAAGCAGGCGAAUUCUACUACCAUGUUAAUAAAGGGAAGAAAAAGAAAGGACGGCAUACCUUAUAAUGUUGAGAAGAUAAAAAGAUCGGUCUUGCUUGCUUAUGGAAUAUCCGUAAUGCUUAAGUUGAUUUUGAUGUGCAGAAAAUUAACAAGGGAA
rnacentral:lncRNA from 1 species